rnacentral:rRNA from 1 species
GACGAACGCUGGCGGCGUGCUUAACACAUGCAAGUCGAACGGAAAGGCCCUGCUUUUGUGGGGUGCUCGAGUGGCGAACGGGUGAGUAACACGUGAGUAACCUGCCCUUGACUUUGGGGUAACUUCAGGAAACUGGGGCUAAUACCGGAUAGGAGCUCCUGCUGCAUGGUGGGGGUUGGAAAGUUUCGGCGGUUGGGGAUGGACUCGCGGCUUAUCAGCUUGUUGGUGGGGUAGUGGCUUACCAAGGCUGUGACGGGUAGCCGGCCUGAGAGGGUGACCGGCCACAUUGGGACUGCGAGACGGCCCAGACUCCUACGGGAGGCAGCAGUGGGGAAUAUUGCACAAUGGGCGGAAGCCUGAUGCAGCAACGCCGCGUGCGGGAUGACGGCCUGCGGGUUGUAAACCGCUUUCGCCUGUGACGAAGCGUGAGUGACGGUAAUGGGUAAAGAAGCACCGGCUAACUACGUG